AUGAACGUUGGCGGCGUGGAUUAGGCAUGCAAGUCGCGCGAUAAAUUCCCGCAAGGGAAUGGAAAGCGGCGAAAGGGACAGUAAUGCGUAGAUACCUACCCUCGGGCUCGGGAUAGCUGCGGGAAACUGCAAUUAAUACCGAAUAACGUCUCCGGACCAAAGGUGUGAUUCCGCCUGGGGAUGGGUCUGCGUCCUAUUAGCUAGUUGGUGUGGUAACGGCAUACCAAGGCAAAGAUGGGUAGCAGGUGUGAGAGCACGACCUGCGUCACUGGGACUGAGACACUGCCCAGACACCUACGGGUGGCUGCAGUCGAGAAUCUUCGGCAAUGGGCGCAAGCCUGACCGAGCGACGCCGCGUGCGGGAUGAAGGCCUUCGGGUUGUAAACCGCUGUCAGAGAGGCGGAAGUGCAGGGGGGUUCUCCCCUCUGCUUGACCUAUUCUCAGAGGAAGUGCGGGCUAAGUCCGU
rnacentral:rRNA from 1 species